UAGACCUCCCGGAAGUCCUGUUUGCUCGCCUAGCGCUUAGCAUACCGGGAAGGGAACGGCGACCGGGAAAGAACAAGUGGAUACCAAGAGUGCUGUGCUCAUACUGGACUUUAGGAGCUCAUGUAAUAUUUUAUGCUGAGCUUCCUCCCCCCACAUUACCAUUAGCUUGAUUCUCAGCUGUGCACUGAACUGGAGGCUGCCCAAAGAUGGUGAAUUUCACUUCUAUUGUCCCUUAAAGCAGCACUCUCCAAGAGUCACUCCAGAGACACAAAGCAACACGAACUGCUACAUUUUAUUUUUGCACCAAAGGAAAAAAAGAACCAAUUUACUAAGCAGC
rnacentral:lncRNA from 1 species